rnacentral:ncRNA from 21 species
CGUAGCUUGACCGUUGACGGUUCCCGCAAGGGAUCAAAAGGGAACGCGGUGGAGGGCUUUCGAGCUCGAUCCCGCGGCUGCCCCCGCAACUGUGAGCGGAGAGUCCUCCAUCACCACGUCACUGGGCAUGCCUCGCCUGGGAAGACGAUGGAGGGCGACGACCCGCGAGCCAGGAGACCUGCCGUCAGCCGUGGUCACACG